rnacentral:tRNA from 1 species
GCCGGUGUAGCUCCAAUUGGUAGAGCUGGGGUUUUGUAAGCCCUUGGUUGCAGGUUCGAGUCCUGUCGCCGGCU